rnacentral:lncRNA from 1 species
UAAAUCAAUAUGUCAAUAUGGCUACUUGGUGUAAAAGAUAAAUCUUAUUCUAUCUGUUCUUAAUGAGUUUUAGAUAAUUUUAGUUGUAUUUCUUUGUAAUUUUGUGUUGUACAAAGAUUAAUUUAACAUUUUCUCUGGAAGUAUUAAUUUAGAAAGAUAAUAUGCUUCAUUGGUGUUGUGUUUUGAAGUGUGAAAUGCAAAGUAAUUGUGAUAAAGUCAAGAUAAAGUUCACUUUUAAACUGAACUAAAUAAGGUAUCUGAGAGACAACAAUGGUUAAAUGCAAUACAAUGUACAGGUUUUACUAGCGAAAUGAAAAUUUUCCUGUCCUGUCUGCUGUAAUCAUUUUAUAUCUGGAAAACCAGCCGACUUAAUCGAUAAUAACAAUCUCCAGAUUGGGUUCCUUCAAUAAAUAUGGGCUAUAAACACAAUGAAAUAAGUUCCCCAAAAUCUAAAAUGGAGUGGUAUCAAAGGAGAAUUAAAGGAAAAAA